AGAAGCACUCUGCUGAUGGGCUGGCCAAAUCACUUGGGUCUGGCAAUAACCAGUAGAUUCUAGACCAGAGACAGCAUCAGACUGCAACAAAAACAUUGAAUAUGAUAUUUUGGGUUUGAGGAAUCAUAAAGCUGUGUGGCAAUUUCAAUGACCUUCUGUCUUCUAAUCUCAACCUGACUACAAUACCCAAUAAUCAUAGAUCCAAGGCAAAUAAAGAAAUGCAUUCGGUGGUGAUGAAAUGUCUUUCGUUCAGCCUGGAUUGAAUCAAAGACCAUCAGAG